rnacentral:rRNA from 1 species
AACGAACGCUGGCGGCAUGCCUAACACAUGCAAGUCGAACGAGACCUUCGGGGCUAGUGGCGCACGGGUGCGUAACGCGUGGGAACCUGCCCUUAGGUUCGGAAUAACUCCCCGAAAGGGGUGCUCAUACAGGAUAGUGUCUUAGGACAAAAGAUUUAUCGCCUUUGGAUGGGCCCGCGUUAGAUUCGCUAGUUGGUAGGGUAAAAGCCUACCAAGGCGACGUUCCAUAGCUGGUCUGAGAGCAUGAUCAGCCACACUGGGACUGAGACACGGCCCAGACUCCUACGGAAGGGAGCAGUGGGGAAUAUUGGACGAUGGGCGAUAGCCUGAUCCAGCCAUGCCGCGUGAGUGAUGAUGGCGUUAGGAUUGUAAAGCUCUUUGACCCGAGAUGAUAAUGACAGUACCGGGAGAAUAAGCACCGGCUAACUCCGUG